GACCGCAUCGCCAAGUGGUUAAGGCAACUUCCCGGCAGGGAGUCAUUCGCAGGUUCGAUUCCUGCUGCGGUCU
rnacentral:tRNA from 1 species